rnacentral:rRNA from 1 species
UACGUAGGGUGCAAGCGUUGUCCGGAAUUAUUGGGCGUAAAGAGCUCGUAGGCGGUUCGUCGCGUCGGCUGUGAAAACCUGAGGCUCAACCUCAGGCCUGCAGUCGAUACGGGCGGACUUGAGUACUGCAGGGGGAGACUGGAAUUCCUGGUGUAGCGGUGAAAUGCGCAGAUAUCAGGAGGAACACCGGUGGCGAAGGCGGGUCUCUGGGCAGUAACUGACGCUGAGGAGCGAAAGCGUGGGGAGCGAACAGG